AUUCCAGCUCCAAUAGCGUAUAUUUAAGUUGUUGCGGUUAAAAAGCUCGUAGUUGGAUUUCGGGCGUGGAGGUUCGGUCCGCCGUUUCGGUGUGCACUGUCUUUCUGCGUCUUUCUGUCGGGGACGCGCUUCUGGCCUUAAUUGGCUGGGACGUGGAUUCGACGAGGUUACUGUGAAAAAAUCAGAGUGUUCAACGCAGGCUUACGCCUUGAAUACAUUAGCAUGGAAUAAUGAGAUAGGACCUUGGCGGUCUAUUUUGUUGGUUUGCACGCCGAGGUAAUGAUUAACAGGGACGGUUGGGGUUCUUCGUAUUCAAUUGUCAGAGGUGAAAUUCUUGGAUUUAUGGAAGACGAACUGCUGCGAAAGCGUCGAACAAGGACGUUCUCAUUG
rnacentral:rRNA from 1 species